rnacentral:tRNA from 1 species
GCCCCGGUGGCCGAGCGGUCUAAGGCGUCGGGCUGCAGAACUAGCGGAGACCCGAUUUUUCCCGGGUUCGAAUCCCGGCCGGGGCUCCA